rnacentral:rRNA from 1 species
GAUGAACGCUGGCGGCGUGCCUAAUACAUGCCAGUCGAGCGAACAGACGAGGAGCUUGCUCCUUCGACGUUAGCGGCGGACGGGUGAGUAACACGUAGGUAACCUACCUAUAAGACUGGGAUAACUUCGGGAAACCGGAGCUAAUACCGGAUAAUAUUUCGAACCGCAUGGUUCGAUAGUGAAAGAUGGCUUUGCUAUCACUUAUAGAUGGACCUGCGCCGUAUUAGCUAGUUGGUAAGGUAACGGCUUACCAAGGCAACGAUACGUAGCCGACCUGAGAGGGUGAUCGGCCGCACUGGAACUGAGACACGGUCCAGACUCCUACGGGAGGCAGCAGUAGGGAAUCUUCCGCAAUGGGCGAAAGCCUGACGGAGCAACGCCGCGUGAGUGAUGAAGGUCUUCGGAUCGUAAAACUCUGUUAUUAGGGAAGAACAAACGUGUAAGUAACUGUGCACGUCUUGACGGUACCUAAUCAGAAAGCCACGGCUAACUACGUG